CAGACUGUGGCAAGAAACUUUGACUGACCCUCCACCUACCAGCCUCUGCCACCAGCCUGCAGGCCACCUCCACCUGCAGACUGUGACAUCGAGAUAUGGACUGACCAUCCACCUACCAGCCUUUGACAACAAUCUUCUCCCUCUCACCUGACUGUCAGCUCACCACCUGCUGCUCAUCAUCCAGUCAUCCCUGUGAUAUAAAGGACCGGUUUAACCUUCCAGACUGUGCCACAUGGUUUGGUGUCCUAUGCUUCAGGAAAUCCUGCCAGACAUCCAUCCAGCUCAGUCUUAUCUAAACACCUGCUCCUGAAGUUUGCUGCCACCACCAGCCUUGCACUGUUCUGGAUCUCCUACCUUUAAGAUGUCAUCCAGUCAUCCUGCUCCUGAGUUGCGCUAUUAAUUUAGUUGAAUAAACUGUAUAAAUGUAUUCUGUUCUGUGGUUGGUGUUUGCAGUUUGGGUCCUUUAGUAUUCAUUAUAAUGAUCUGUGUAUAUAGUAUCAUACUUUAAUCAAAGCAAAGUGGAAAUUAGCUGCUGAGCCUCCUAUUAAUGCCUUGUCCCUCAUUAUCUCUGUGCAGUGUGUGCAAUAUUCCUCUGCUAGAAUACAUCCUCAUGUUUGCUGUGUGACAAUGUGAUUAAACACAAAAAUAAUUCUGUAACAUAAAUCAUCUGAGCACACUGUCAAUAUCAGUUUAAAACUGGAUUUUUAACAUAAGAACCCUGAGAAGAAAGAGGAGCAGGUAAAACAGGACCCAUGUGGAGGCCUUCAUCAUGUUAGUUGAUGUUGUGCCUAGAGCACAAUACAAAUGCCACAAAGUAAAGUCAUCUAAUGCAGAGUUGGAGCUUGGAGGUGAAAGCUGCUUUUAAAUGUUUCUGCUUCAAAGCUUCAACACUAAUGGUACAGAAAAUACACUGAGGUGGAAAUCCAAACUAAGAAAAAGAAGCAUCAUAAAUAAUGGAGUCAUUUGUACUUUGUCUGUGAAUUCGCUGACAAGAGAUAAUAAAACUGCACUAAUUUGAACUGAU